rnacentral:tRNA from 1 species
GUCCAAAGAUGGGAAUCGAACCCAACAGUGUUCCGCUUACCGGGCAGAUGCCAUAUCCACUAGGCUACCCUAGA